GAUCUAUACAUCCAGUUUUAGAAUAGCCAUGGCUAUAUAGUGAAACUCUUUCUUAAAAUAACAACAAACAACAUCAGGCUGACUUUCUUUUCUUUUUUAAAAGAUUUAUUUAUUAUUAUACAUAAGUACACUGUAGCUGUCUUCAGACACACCAGAAGAGGGUGUCAGAUCUCAUUACGGAUGGUUGUGAGCCACCAUGUUGUUGCUGGGAAUUGAACUCAGGACCUCUGGAAGAGCAGUCGGUGCUCUUAACCUCUGAGCCAUCUCUCCAUCUCCUUGGUGCUGCUAUUGUUAUUAUCUAGGUUCCUAUCCUUUGCUCAUGUUCAUCACCAGUACUGAUGCUGUCCUCUCCCAAUGGACUUUAUAUAAUCUCUAAGGAUUUAUUUAUUGUGGGUGUGUUUGCACCUGUAUGUACACACAAGUGCACCAGCACUACUGUAGAGGUCAAGAACAACUGCUUGCUGUGACUUCUCUCCUUCUGCCAUGUGGGUGGUCCUAGGAGCAGGACUCAGGUCUCCAAGAUUGGCAACAAGCACCAUUACCCACUGAGCCAUCUUGCCAGCCCAAGUCCAAUGUUGAUAAUGGCUGGAUUUCAUGUACAUAAAAAGCCAUUCCAGGGAUGGAGGCGUGGUCCAGUGGUAGAGCGCUUGCCAAAACAGCACACUGCCCUGAAUUCCAUCUCCAACACUAAAUGCGGAGGGGAAAAAAUGAAAAAGAAAACACUCACUGAGGAGGCAGAGGCAGGGGGUUCACUGCAGGUUGAGGCCAGCCUGUGCUACAUAGCAGAUUGGAGGUAAGGCAGGAAUCUGCAGCAGGACUCUGUCUCAACACCCCUCAUUCCAUACGAUACUGCAGAGUAGACGCUAGCAACGAAAAGUCUCAACUGUGAGCUAGGCCUGCGUGGUGCAUGCCUUUAGAGGCCAGCCUGGUUUAUACAGUAAGUUCCAGGACAGCCAGGACUACACAGAGAGAUGUUGUCUCAGAAG
rnacentral:lncRNA from 1 species